rnacentral:misc_RNA from 1 species
GUGAAUCAUCGAAUUUUUGAACGCAAAUUGCACUCUCCUCGGAGAGUAUGCCUGUUUGAGGGUCAGCCUAUAAAAAAUCGACAUCGUUGCUGUUUCGCGGUGGCGUUCGUCGGAAAUUGGGUCAUCUUAAAUCUUUUGGUUUUAAGCGACUUAAAAUUUUCUUUUUGGUUCCAUGAAAGUUUCUAAGAUUUAUUUCUUUACACGUUUAAGGUAUCGAUUUUUAUUAGACGUGAC